GAAGUUUUAGAUUUUAUCCCAGCAGUUUAUUUAUUUAUUGAUCAACGUGUAUCACAUGAGAUUGUUUUUAUUCUUAAGUUUGUACAUAUGUUUUAAAGAAUGGAAUAUUAUGAAUUAACCAAAUUAUUUGUAAAUCUUGUGAAUUAUUUCAAAAUUAUUAAUAAAAUAAUUAAACAGUAAAAAAAAUUUUUUUUGUUCAUUAAUUUACAAGAAAAAAAGGUAACGCCAUCUAUAUGUCAGAUUACGAACUUUUCAGCUCAUCAACCUAUUUGAUAGAAUCACAAAACUUAGAUAAAAUCUACAGAUUACUACAGAGGUAUUAAUUUUAAAAUACGUUUAACAUAUGCGAAUGUUGGCUGCAUUAGCAUAUGUUUCUUUAGAAAUGCUUAUGAAGCACUUACUGACACUACAUUUUUUCUUGAAAAAUGAAAACAUUUUCCUCAAUUUCCUCGACUACUUUGAGGAAAUUUGGAUUGGUUAUAAAACAGGCAGAAGAAAACACAUAUGCAACCGAAAUAUCUUAUUGCACUUUUAAUUGUUAUAAAAGUCCCACAAAUAAUCUUCCAACGACAAAUAACUAUAUUGAUGGAUGACACAAAGGCUUACAAGUUAAAUAGCUGUUCAUCAUCUUACACUAUGGAAGUUUAUUGAAUGCCUACAAAAAAAUCAAAAUUUCGAAGAAAUUUAAAUGGAAAAUUAUAAUUUGGAUUACCAGACAAAAAAAAAAAAAAGCUCAUUGAAAAUUCAUUAAAUCCAUUCGAUGCUUCUACAUUAUUUUCACAAUAGGAAUCCAUAUAAUAACUAUUGUUGUUAUUGUUCAAAAUUUUUGUUGGAUCUAACACCAUAAAAUUAACAGAGGCGUCAGUCAAGCCCUCAGAUUCUGUCUCAAUAAAAUCAAUAGGACUUGAUAAACCAACAACGCCAUUGACAGAACUCAUUUUAGCGUCUCCUGGGAUUUGAGGGUAAUACUCUGCUUCAUGGGGCAUUGAGUACAUGAAGUCCAAAGAAGAUUCAUGUGCGAUACUAUUGCUACCGUCGGAACUAGUAAUUUCAGUCUUCACCAUAUACUGAUACUGGUCAUGAUCCUGGUAUCGAUGUUGAUUGUGAUGACUAAGAGAAACAUCGUCGGCUUGGUAACAGCGGAAGUCUUCAGCAGGAUGGCGAUAACUCUGCUGCCAUCCUACCAAGUCAUCACAAUGCGUCGACAUAGGGGGACUUUUGUGGUGGAUAGUACCACUACCCAAGUCCAGUACAGUUGUCGGCGACUUAUUCGCAUACUCUGAUGUGCCUUGUACGGGUUGUUGAAACAUGUCAUUGGGAGAAGAAGUGACACAAGGUUGGGAUUGGCCAAAUGCAUCUGGACCCAAAGCCACAGCAAAAUCAAUGGGAGUAGGGUUAGCCAACGGCAACGGAUAAUGCUGCACACUUGACCAAUCUUGGUUAUGAUCGCCAGACAAGAAAGUCUGUUCAACCAUUCCCGUGUCCGUUGUCUGAGGUAACUCUAGACGGCUGCAAACGCAACAAUAAGGGAGACAAGAACAGUUUGAAUCUAAAAAAUAUACAUCAUUAGAAACUUUCAAAAUAAAAAUGGGACCACUCGUCUUUUGUUUCCUUAAAGUAUCACUCUAAAAAAAAAAAGAAAGAAUUCCUCAAUACUUCAUAAUCAAUAUCUAAUAUAUUUCGUGCUAUUUUCAGUUAAUUUAUACUUUAUAUAGUUGAAUGAAAUUAAGGUUAAAAUGAUCCAAUAG